CGUUAAGACAAACCGCUAUGGCAUUAGAUCAAAUUUUUGAGCAUCUUCGGCUAAUGGCCAUAGAGGAAAGGCGAAUGGCUAAAGAAGUUAUGAAAACUCUCUGAAACGGAAAUGAAAGUGGAUGAUUAGUAACAACAAGUGUUCAACAAUUUUUAAGGGUGAAGGGUUCCUUAACCAUGAAAAAUUUUGAAGCUUAUGAAACAAUUCUCAAAUCCAAGUGUAAAUUUUUAUCGAAAUUAAAUAAUUUUUGAAACUA